UACUUGUAUGCUGUAACUCUGUAGGGAUUUUGUUUGUCAAACGCACGUUUGAAAAAGGUUAACAUUUAUGGCGAAAGAAUAUUUUGAUAAUUCUUGAAAAUGCAUUAUUUUAAAUAUAGAAAAUUUGCUACAUCCUUUAGUAUAAUAAGAAACAUGGCUACUGUUAAAAGGUUCUAUCGAAAAACGAAUAUUGUGUCAAGUGGUGGAAGAUUUGAAAUUACACUCGACCAAAGGAAACUUAAAACUCCACAAGGAAAAAUAUUUGAAGUGGAUAACAAGCCGCUUGCAUUAGCAGUGGCUGCAGAAUGGGAUGCACAAAAAGAUGUUAUUGAUAGAAGCAAUAUGCACUUGACUGCUCUGUGUAAUACCAUAAUAGACAAUCCUCACAAACAUACAAAGAUAGAUAUGGUCAAUUAUAUUGUAAACUGUUUAGAAAUGGAUACACUUUUAUUUCAUACAAAUGAAAGUGAUGAAUUGUAUAAAUUACAAACUGAAAAAUGGGACCCAUUAGUACAAUGGUUUUGUGAUAACUAUAGUGUAAAUAUGGUAAAAACUCAAAGUAUAGAGGCUCCCAUCGUAUCUGAAGAAACUAAAAUGGUACUGGUGAGACAUUUAAUGUCUUAUGACUAUGCAGCAGUUCAUGGUUUCAUGUAUGGAGUAGAUGCAAUAAAAUCUGUGAUUCUCACAUUAGCUGCAGCAGAACGAGUGAUUACUAUACAAGAUGCAGUAAAACUGUCGCGUUUAGAGGAAGAUUUUCAAACUUCUCAUUGGGGAUCUGUAGAAUGGUUUCAUGAUCAUAACAAGUAUGAUUUACAAACUCGUUUAGCUGCAGCAAUAUUAUUUGUGCAUUUGAACUCUAGUUCAGUGACUAGUCUACCCAAAAAUAAUAAUGAAAAUGUUAGUUAAUGUACAAGGAUCAAUGAAAUGAGUUUGAAACGUGACAGGAGGAUGAGUUAACAGAGGAUAAUGCUUCCACUGAUCAGGUACCACAGAUUACGCAUUACUUUUGAAGAAAUAAUUCACCUAUACGUAGCCCCAUGAUUCAAACAUAUUGCGCCAUUUUUACACAAAUGACGGAUGCAUUCGUUGCGAUG